UACGUAGGGUGCUAACGUUGUUCGGAAUCACUGGGCAUAAAGAGCGCGUAGGCGGUCUGAUAAGUCAGGUGUGAAAUCCCCCGGCUCAACCGGGGAACUGCACCUGAUACUGUUGGGCUUGAGUGCAAGAGGGGAGAGCGGAAUUCCUGGUGGAGCGGUGAAAUGCGUAGAUAUCAGGAGGAACGCCGGCGGCGAAAGCGGCUCUCUGGCCUGUCUACUGACGCUGAGGCGCGAAAGCUAGGGGAGCAAACGGG
rnacentral:rRNA from 1 species